CAUGAGGGCCCUUCUCUGUAGAGGGAAGAAGAGUAGCCCCUUAGACUCACCUCUCCAAGCCCACAGAAAAGGACCUCCAGACCCCAUGAGCUACUGAGCUCCUGCUGCAAGGUUGCCAUGAUCCUGCCUGCUUCAUCUCCCUUCUAACUCACCCUCAACCAGCAGCUCACUGCUAGAGGGAUCAUAAAGCUGACCAUGAGACUGCAAAUGCUGAGACCACCCAAAAGAAGGUCCUGCCUGGUCAUGGGCAAUGACUGCCUCCAUCCAAACUCCCGUCGCUUCAACAUUGGGGAAGAGCCGGAUGUUACAUGGUGCCAGAUCCAGUGAAGGAAGCGCACAAGGACACACUGUAGUGUUUUCAUUUGACAAAGAAUUGCUGCAGACCUUUUGAAUCUACUCAGAAUAUUGAGGCUACCAAAAAAGGCAUGAAAGAGGACUUCCAGAGCUGCUUCAGAAAGUGGCAAAUCGAUGGGGAGGAGUUUGCAGCAAUGAUGCCCUCCAGUCACCCAGCUGGCAGAGGGCAGUGCCAGGACCAGCUCUAGUGCCUGCAUGUCUGGCCACUCAACCCCAGCAGUGACACUGAGGCAGAUGGACACAGACUCCUACAGGAGCCAGUCAGGGCUUCUGGCUGCACCCCAGUGCUCGUGCAGAACUGCAGGGAGAGAGAAAAGAGUGGGCUGGAUAGAGGAAGGAAGCCCUGAGCUCCAGGUUGGCGUGAAUGGCUUGGUCCUGUUGACAGCAAGGUUUGUAAAAAUUAUGAAACAGUGGGACGACGUAGACCACCGCAUCCUGGGAAGAUUCUUCUGGCAACGCUACUUGUGGUGGGUCCACAUGGAGGGUAUAGAAUCUGGAAAACAAGUGGGAGGCUCUACAGUCUGUGGUUGGAAAACUCUCGAUCUGCAGAAUGUGGUCUCUGUAAAUACCUUUCACUACUAAGAGGAAUCAGGCCUCCUUAGAAAAGUGACCAUUUCUAGGUCUGGAGCAAAAAAUGUACAAAGUACCUUAGAAAGAAAAGAAACCAUUGAAGUCCAAAUUACUGGAGUGGCAUCAAAAAGACAUAGACAUCUUGAAAAGGCAUCCACUGGGUAAAGAUGAGACAACUUGAAUAAAAAGGAACGAUCACUAAACUGGAAAGAAACAUGUCAAGUGUGUAAAAAUCCAUGAGCUCACAAUAAUAUGCUACCCUCUCUCCAACAAAGCAAAACAAAACAACAAAAUUCCAUGUAACUCAUUGGUUAACUACCUUGGGAAAUUACCAGGCC